AAGCACUUGAUACUAACCGAGCUAUCUGUAUCUUAGCGCUCCCACAGAGAUCUGAGAUAUAACUUGUGAUUGCUGGGUCUGAGAAGUGCAAUAUUAAAACAAGCCAUGAAGAAUUUAAGCUCAGUGUGUAGAGGAUCACACUGGGUUAUAACUCAGAGGCACAACU
rnacentral:snoRNA from 1 species